UGAGGAAUAUUGGUCAAUGGACGAGAGUCUGAACCAGCCAAGUAGCGUGAAGGAUGAAGGUUCUAUGGAUUGUAAACUUCUUUUAUACGGGAAUAAACGAAUCCACGUGUGGAUUUUUGCAUGUACCGUAUGAAUAAGGAUCGGCUAACUCCGUGCCAGCAGCCGCGGUAAUACGGAGGAUCCGAGCGUUAUCCGGAUUUAUUGGGUUUAAAGGGAGCGUAGAUGGGUUGUUAAGUCAGUUGUGAAAGUUUGCGGCUCAACCGUAAAAUUGCAAUUGAUACUGGCAGUCUUGAGUACAGUUGAGGUAGGCGGAAUUCGUGGUGUAGCGGUGAAAUGCUUAGAUAUCACGAAGAACUCCGAUUGCGAAGGCAGCUUACUAACCUGUAACUGACAUUGAUGCUCGAAAGUGUGGGUAUCAAACAGGAUUAGAUACCCUGGUAGUCCACACGGUAAACGAUGAAUACUCGCUGUAGGCGAUAUACAGUCUGCGGCCAAGCGAAAGCAUUAAGUAUUCCACCUGGGGAGUACGCCGGCAACGGUGAAACUCAAAGGAAUUGACGGGGGCCCGCACAAGCGGAGGAACAUGUGGUUUAAUUCGAUGAUACGCGAGGAACCUUACCCGGGCUUAAAUUGCAACCGAAUAUGGCGGAAACGCUAUAGCUAGCAAUAGCGGUUGUGAAGGUGCUGCAUGGUUGUCGUCAGCUCGUGCCGUGAGGUGUCGGCUUAAGUGCCAUAACGAGCGCAACCCUUGCCGAUAGUUACUAACAGGUUAUGCUGAGGACUCUGUCGGGACUGCCAUCGUAAGAUGUGAGGAAGGUGGGGAUGACGUCAAAUCAGCACGGCCCUUACGUCCGGGGCUACACACGUGUUACAAUGGGGGGUACAGAGGGCUGCUACACGGCGACGUGGUGCUAAUCCCGAAAGCCUCUCUCAGUUCGGAUUGGAGUCUGCAACCCGACUCCAUGAAGCUGGAUUCGCUAGUAAUCGCGCAUCAGCCACGGCGCGGUGAAUACGUUCCC
rnacentral:rRNA from 1 species